rnacentral:tRNA from 1 species
GAGGGUAUAGCUCAAAUGGUAGAGUGCAUGCUUAGCAUUCAUGAGGUCCUGGGUUCAAUCUCCAGUACCUCCU